rnacentral:rRNA from 1 species
UUAAGCGACUAAGCGUACACGGUGGAUGCCCUGGCAGUCAGAGGCGAUGAAGGACGUGCUAAUCUGCGAUAAGCGUCGGUAAGGUGAUAUGAACCGUUAUAACCGGCGAUUUCCGAAUGGGGAAACCCAGUGUGAUUCGUCACACUAUCAUUAACUGAAUCCAUAGGUUAAUGAGGCGAACCGGGGGAACUGAAACAUCUAAGUACCCCGAGGAAAAGAAAUCAACCGAGAUUCCCCCAGUAGCGGCGAGCGAACGGGGAGCAGCCCAGAGCCUGAAUCAGUGUGUGUGUUAGUGGAAGCGUCUGGAAAGGCGCGCGAUACAGGGUGACAGCCCCGUACACAAAAAUGCACAUGCUGUGAGCUCGAUGAGUAGGGCGGGACACGUGGUAUCCUGUCUGAAUAUGGGGGGACCAUCCUCCAAGGCUAAAUACUCCUGACUGACCGAUAGUGAACCAGUACCGUGAGGGAAAGGCGAAAAGAACCCCGGCGAGGGGAGUGAAAAAGAACCUGAAACCGUGUACGUACAAGCAGUGGGAGCACGCUUCGGCGUGUGACUGCGUACCUUUUGUAUAAUGGGUCAGCGACUUAUAUUCUGUAGCAAGGUUAACCGAAUAGGGGAGCCGAAGGGAAACCGAGUCUUAACUGGGCGUUAAGUUGCAGGGUAUAGACCCGAAACCCGGUGAUCUAGCCAUGGGCAGGUUGAAGGUUGGGUAACACUAACUGGAGGACCGAACCGACUAAUGUUGAAAAAUUAGCGGAUGACUUGUGGCUGGGGGUGAAAGGCCAAUCAAACCGGGAGAUAGCUGGUUCUCCCCGAAAGCUAUUUAGGUAGCGCCUCGUGAACUCAUCUCCGGGGGUAGAGCACUGUUUCGGCAAGGGGGUCAUCCCGACUUACCAACCCGAUGCAAACUGCGAAUACCGGAGAAUGUUAUCACGGGAGACACACGGCGGGUGCUAACGUCCGUCGUGAAGAGGGAAACAACCCAGACCGCCAGCUAAGGUCCCAAAGUCAUGGUUAAGUGGGAAACGAUGUGGGAAGGCCCAGACAGCCAGGAUGUUGGCUUAGAAGCAGCCAUCAUUUAAAGAAAGCGUAAUAGCUCACUGGUCGAGUCGGCCUGCGCGGAAGAUGUAACGGGGCUAAACCAUGCACCGAAGCUGCGGCAGCGACACUAUGUGUUGUUGGGUAGGGGAGCGUUCUGUAAGCCUGUGAAGGUGUACUGUGAGGUAUGCUGGAGGUAUCAGAAGUGCGAAUGCUGACAUAAGUAACGAUAAAGCGGGUGAAAAGCCCGCUCGCCGGAAGACCAAGGGUUCCUGUCCAACGUUAAUCGGGGCAGGGUGAGUCGACCCCUAAGGCGAGGCCGAAAGGCGUAGUCGAUGGGAAACAGGUUAAUAUUCCUGUACUUGGUGUUACUGCGAAGGGGGGACGGAGAAGGCUAUGUUGGCCGGGCGACGGUUGUCCCGGUUUAAGCGUGUAGGCUGGUUUUCCAGGCAAAUCCGGAAAAUCAAGGCUGAGGCGUGAUGACGAGGCACUACGGUGCUGAAGCAACAAAUGCCCUGCUUCCAGGAAAAGCCUCUAAGCAUCAGGUAACAUCAAAUCGUACCCCAAACCGACACAGGUGGUCAGGUAGAGAAUACCAAGGCGCUUGAGAGAACUCGGGUGAAGGAACUAGGCAAAAUGGUGCCGUAACUUCGGGAGAAGGCACGCUGAUAUGUAGGUGAGGUCCCUCGCGGAUGGAGCUGAAAUCAGUCGAAGAUACCAGCUGGCUGCAACUGUUUAUUAAAAACACAGCACUGUGCAAACACGAAAGUGGACGUAUACGGUGUGACGCCUGCCCGGUGCCGGAAGGUUAAUUGAUGGGGUUAGCGGUAACGCGAAGCUCUUGAUCGAAGCCCCGGUAAACGGCGGCCGUAACUAUAACGGUCCUAAGGUAGCGAAAUUCCUUGUCGGGUAAGUUCCGACCUGCACGAAUGGCGUAAUGAUGGCCAGGCUGUCUCCACCCGAGACUCAGUGAAAUUGAACUCGCUGUGAAGAUGCAGUGUACCCGCGGCAAGACGGAAAGACCCCGUGAACCUUUACUAUAGCUUGACACUGAACAUUGAGCCUUGAUGUGUAGGAUAGGUGGGAGGCUUUGAAGUGUGGACGCCAGUCUGCAUGGAGCCGACCUUGAAAUACCACCCUUUAAUGUUUGAUGUUCUAACGUUGACCCGUAAUCCGGGUUGCGGACAGUGUCUGGUGGGUAGUUUGACUGGGGCGGUCUCCUCCUAAAGAGUAACGGAGGAGCACGAAGGUUGGCUAAUCCUGGUCGGACAUCAGGAGGUUAGUGCAAUGGCAUAAGCCAGCUUGACUGCGAGCGUGACGGCGCGAGCAGGUGCGAAAGCAGGUCAUAGUGAUCCGGUGGUUCUGAAUGGAAGGGCCAUCGCUCAACGGAUAAAAGGUACUCCGGGGAUAACAGGCUGAUACCGCCCAAGAGUUCAUAUCGACGGCGGUGUUUGGCACCUCGAUGUCGGCUCAUCACAUCCUGGGGCUGAAGUAGGUCCCAAGGGUAUGGCUGUUCGCCAUUUAAAGUGGUACGCGAGCUGGGUUUAGAACGUCGUGAGACAGUUCGGUCCCUAUCUGCCGUGGGCGCUGGAGAACUGAGGGGGGCUGCUCCUAGUACGAGAGGACCGGAGUGGACGCAUCACUGGUGUUCGGGUUGUCAUGCCAAUGGCACUGCCCGGUAGCUAAAUGCGGA